rnacentral:rRNA from 1 species
UACACUCCUGCGGGAGGCAGCAGUGGGGAAUUUUGGACAAUGGGCGAAAGCCUGAUCCAGCAAUGCCGCGUGAGUGAAGAAGGCCUUCGGGUUGUAAAGCUCUUUUGUCAGGGAAGAAACGGUGAGAGCUAAUAUCUUUUGCUAAUGACGGUACCUGAAGAAUAAGCACCGGCUAACUACGUGCCAGCAGCCGCGGUAAUACGUAGGGUGCAAGCGUUAAUCGGAAUUACUGGGCGUAAAGCGUGCGCAGGCGGUUUUGUAAGUCUGAUGUGAAAUCCCCGGGCUCAACCUGGGAAUUGCAUUGGAGACUGCAAGGCUAGAAUCUGGCAGAGGGGGGUAGAAUUCCACGUGUAGCAGUGAAAUGCGUAGAUAUGUGGAGGAAAACCGAUGGCGAAGGCAGCCCCCUGGGUCAAGAUUGACGCUCAUGCACGAAAGCGUGGGGAGCAAACAGGAUUAGAAACCCCUGUAGUCCCA